rnacentral:rRNA from 1 species
UACGUAGGGCGCAAGCGUUGUCCGGAAUUAUUGGGCGUAAAGAGCUCGUAGGCGGCCUGUCGCGUCAAUUGUGAAAGCCCGGGGCUUAACCCCGGGUCUGCAGUCGAUACGGGCAGGCUAGAGUGUGGUAGGGGAGAUCGGAAUUCCUGGUGUAGCGGUGAAAUGCGCAGAUAUCAGGAGGAACACCGGUGGCGAAGGCGGAUCUCUGGGCCAUUACUGACGCUGAGGAGCGAAAGCGUGGGGAGCGAACAGG